rnacentral:rRNA from 1 species
AUUGAACGCUGGCGGCAGGCCUAACACAUGCAAGUCGAACGGAGUGGCGGACGGGUGAGUAAUGUCUGGGAAACUGCCUUAUGGAGGGGGAUAACUACUGGAAACGGUAGCUAAUACCGCAUCCUAUCAGAUUAGCCUAGGUCGGAUUCGCUAGUUGGUGGGGUAAAGGCCUACCAAGGCGACGAUCCGUAACUGGUCUGAGAGGAUGAUCAGUCACACUGGAACUGAGACACGGUCCAGACUCCUACGGGAGGCAGCAGUGGGGAAUAUUGGACAAUGGGCGAAAGCCUGAUCCAGCCAUGCCGCGUGUGUGAAGAAGGUCUUCGGAUUGUAAAGCACUUUAAGUUGGGAGGCGUUACCAACAGAAUAAGCACCGGCUAACUUCGUGCCAGCAGCCGCGGUAAUAC